rnacentral:lncRNA from 1 species
UGUUAUGAGUGUAGUUAUCCAGUGUGAGAGACAGAACAAACCUCAAAUAAGUGCUAGGUUUAAAAAUAAAUGUUUUUGGCAGUUAAAGACACAGUAAAGUUUUACUUGGUUAGGAGAGAUUGUCAGAAGAAGUUAUGACUGUGGACUUCUAAAAGUGCCAAUGUUAUUCCAGUAGUGAGUAGAUCCUACUAUAGCAGAUUACGUACAGCUCAGUAACAACAAGUGUCACAACAGGUUAGACAGUUCUAUUCUGAUAAGGAUCUCCAACUACAGACAACAACUGCCAGACUGCCUGUGGGAUCCCCACCGGCCGGCUCAACUGUGAGGUGACGGGCACAUCAGACGGACACCGCACUGCUGGGCUAGUCUCUCCCUGCUGCUGCCUUGGUGUGUGGACGAACCGAGAGCAUCUUUCCCAUGGCGGAGGGCAGUUCCGUUCGUCACAUCUCCAUAGACAUUCGCGCAAUGCCGGAUCCACCCCUAACGAAGCCGCAAACAAGUUGAUAUGUAGGCUGAUAAUAAAGAUAUAUCUCUUCUUCUAUUUUCUUGGUGCUGUCCAUAUAGUUCGCAGCCUCUGUCCAUAUACUACCUGAGAUGUAAUUGAGAUGGCACAUGGGUCUCGGGUGCUAAUCAUCAACUUCCCGCGGUCAAUGUCACAGGCCGACAGCAGAUCCCACUGUGAUGCCAUCUCUUCUUUCUUUCCUUUUUUUCUUAGUUUUUUGAUAGAGUAUAGAACUCGUCACUUAACAGGCGGCCAUCGAAAGUCUCGAACCCUUUUUUUUAUUUCAUUUUUUUAUUUUUUAUUUUUCGCUCGUCAGAAGGUGUCACCGCCAAAAGUGACAAUUUCUCCUAAUUCGACGACGCCCUGCGAAAUGACAAUUUAAAACUUUUUUUAAAAAAUAUUUUAAAAAGAUUGUAUGACAAAUCAUCGCAUGUUUUGCGGUUCUCAUCGGAUCAAUGAGCUGACCUCCAGUUCUCACUACAACGACUGUGCGAAUGGACAUUUUCAACAGUUUGACUUUUUCAUUCAACAUCCAACGAUGAUUUCAUCUUCUAAAAUUGGCGCGAAAUUUAAAAUUUCAAAUCCAUCGGAAAUUGCGAAAUUUGAAAUAGAAAAUAAUUCGCCGAAAUCUGUGGGAAAAUGGAACCAAACAGCUCAGGAUUUUUGUGUGGGGAGGGCUAAAGAGUAGGUGAUGAGCGUCGGUAAUGGCAAUGGCUGGACGCAUUAGCCUCGACCGCCCAACAAACAACAAACAUCACGGCCAGGGGAGAAAACGAAAAGGAAAAAGAAAAGCAUUUUCUUCAUAUUAAGGCAGUCAGAAAAGGAGGACAUUAGCAUCAACAUUUCGCCCUCCCCCCUAGCUCCUAGCUGCUGUCCUAUUGCUCAGUUCAGGCUGUCACACUAGAGCCCAGCCGCUGUGUAUAUACUGAUGUCCCUCUAGCUCUCUUUCUGUUUGAACGACGUUUGCUUAUAACAACCCGGGGGCCGACUUAAAACAAUAAACGCAAUCAAAAACUAAAAAAGCUUAGCUCUGUUUGGCGGGUGGAUGAGUCGCCGGGAGCUGUUGUUUAUAACCACCAAAUUGUGAAGAACAACACACCCUUUUGUUCGUCCUCCAUCGAGCGAGAACCUUAUUUUUUUACGAAAAUGUUUAUAAGAGAAAAUCAUCAAUGGUUGUUAUUACUUUGACGAAAAUAAUUUUAGUUCCUAUUUUUAUUUGUUGGUUAAAAAAUCUGGAAUUAGUUCACCAAGUUUAUACACACAAAAGUACGAAGUUCGCUGUUUUGACUUCGCCGAAAUGAAAUGUCUAAAUAAAUAAACAAAUUCUCGACUCGCUGGUCGUGACGAUCGGAUUAUUUUAAAGAAACUGAACGAAAUAAAAAUGAAUUCAAAUUUGUUGAGUUAUAAGUUUUUCUCGCCCGUUCUAAUAAUUCCGAUCUGUUGUUGUGGUAAUCGAAUCUAUUACAGGUCAAUCCGCAUUUCUCUGUGGCCUCAAUUCCACCAGUUUUUCGGAAGUCGAAUUUUUAUACGCGU